AGAGCAGACUCCCCUGUACCCAGCUGUGUUUCCAUGAAGAGUGACAGGUCAAUAGGAAAUCCGCCCGACUUCAGAGAGGGACCUUUUCCUACAGAUCAAAGUGUCCUGAUGGAGAGAGCAGACUCCCCUGUACCCAGCUGUGUUUCCCUGAAGAGUGACUGGUCAAUGGAGCCCCCAAUGCACGCAAGCUUACCUUCCUAUCCAGCUGGACAGCUCAUGCUGCAUUAUCAGCGAGAAAUCAAAAGUAAACUUAAGAAGCAAUGUGAGUGUGUAUUUGAAGGGAAUCCUAAGGGAGGACAGCCAACACUUCUCAGUGAGAUUUACACAGAACUCUACAUAACUGAAGGUGGAACUGGAGGAGUCAAUGAUGAACAUGAAGUG